GUGCCAGCCGCCGCGGUAAUACCGGCAGCGCCAGUGAUGGCCGCUUUUAUUGGGCCUAAAGCGUUCGUAGCCGGCUAUUCAAGUCCGUCGGGAAAUCUACCCGCUUAACGGGUAGGCGUCCGGCGGAAACUGAGUAGCUUGGGGCCGGAAGAUCCAAGGGGUACGUCCGGGGUAGGAGUGAAAUCCCGUAAUCCUGGACGGACCACCGAUGGCGAAAGCACCUUGGGAAGACGGACCCGACGGUGAGGGACGAAAGCUAGGGUCUCGAACCGGAUUAGAUACCCCAGUAGUCC
rnacentral:rRNA from 1 species